AGCAGCCGCGGUAAUUCCAGCUCCAAUAGCGUAUAUUAAAGUUGUUGCAGUUAAAAAGCUCGUAGUUGAAUUUCGGGAUCAGUAUGUUGGUCGUGCUUCGGUACGUACUGUCAUUACUGGUUUCUACCUUCUGAAGAACCUUGAUGUCAUUAAUUUGGUGUCUUGGGGAAUCAGGACUGUUACUUUGAAAAAUUAGAGUGUUUAAAGCAAGCAUACGCUUGAAUACAUUAGCAUGGAAUAAUGAAAUAGGACGUUUGAUUCUAUUUUGUUGGUUUCUAGGAUCGACGUAAUGAUUAAUAGGGAUAGUUGGGGGCAUUAGUAUUCAAUUGUCAGAGGUGAAAUUCUUGGAUUUAUUGAAGACUAACUACUGCGAAAGCAUUUGCCAAGGAUGUUUUCAUUAAUCAAGAACGAAAGUUAGGGGAUCGAAGACGAUCAGAUACCGUCGUAGUC
rnacentral:rRNA from 2 species